rnacentral:misc_RNA from 1 species
AUUUUUUGGAUUCAACUCUUUUCACUGUUGUGCUCUGCUUUUGAAUCCUAUGGUGGCUUGGAGAUGAUUCCAAAGACACCUCUGUUUCAGCCAAAAUUCUUGAUGCAGCUUCAACCGCCUUUUUCUGCUCUCGCUCACGCCACCUUUUUAGUUCUCCUUCCACAGCCUUCUUAGCUGCUUCUGCCAUCUUGGCUUUCUUUGAAGCUUCCUCAGUUGCAGUCUUCAUAUCCUCA